rnacentral:rRNA from 1 species
CAGCCGCCGCGGUAAUACGAAGGGUGCAAGCGUUACUCGGAAUUACUGGGCGUAAAGCGUGCGUAGGUGGUGGUUUAAGUCCGUUGUGAAAGCCCUGGGCUCAACCUGGGAAUUGCAGUGGAUACUGGGUCACUAGAGUGUGGUAGAGGAUAGUGGAAUUUCCGGUGUAGCAGUGAAAUGCGUAGAGAUCGGAAGGAACAUCUGUGGCGAAGGCGACUAUCUGGGCCAACACUGGCACUGAGGCACGAAAGCGUGGGGAGCAAACAGGAUUAGAUACCCCCGUAGUCCCUGUCUCUUAUAA